rnacentral:rRNA from 1 species
UACGGGGGGUGCGAGCGUUGUCCGGAAUCACUGGGCGUAAAGGGCGCGUAGGUGGUUUGAUAAGGGUGUGGUGAAAGUCCGGGGCUCAACCCCGGAUCUGCCGUGCCGACUGUCAAACUCGAGGACUGUAGAGGCAGACGGAAUUCCGGGUGUAGCGGUGGAAUGCGUAGAGUAUCGGAGGAAGACCGGUGGCGAAGGCGGCCGACCUGGGUCAG